ensembl:lncRNA
GCUGCUGUGUGACGACGCAGACUGCGCCGUGUGCAACGAGGCAGCCCGGAAAGCUGAGCGGCUGGCGUACACCAAAAGGGCCGGCGCGUGGGGCCCUGCCGGGCCAGGGUCACCUCCCCCUCCCACCUCCUUGUCUGGCCACUACACACCAUCCCGCAUCAGCUGGGAGCCGGAGCAGAACAUCGCACGGAGCCAGCAGGAGCAGUUCCUGCACAGCUGGGGGCUAGCUCGGAGCUCCUCUUCUCUCCAGCACGAGCCGCCCCUACUCGCUUGGGAGCUGAGAACUGGAUCGAGCAAGCACGAGACAUUUCUUCCCAGGCAGGAGGAGUACCCUGGCCCCUCUCCUGCCCAGCACGAGCCCUUCCCUCCAAGCCAAGGGGAACGUGGCUGGGGAGGUAGUUUCCUGCGCAGGGGCAGAGCAAGGAGCCCCCAGGCUGCUCCCCAGAAGCAGGCGCAUCGCCCUGACUGGGUGCCGUUUCUGGCCAAGUCCCCAGGUGGGGCCAGGAUGUCAGGGCGGGAGACCAAACGGCAGCGAGACCGAGAGAGCGCGGCACCCAGGGCCGCAGGGAAAGCUCUGACAUCUCUGGCUGGGAGACCCCCGGUGCGGGUCAGUCCUGGAGCCCUGCGUGUGCCCGGAAGGAUCGAAUUGGCCGAAGCGGAGACCCCCUUCCUCCACAGCGACGUCAGGGCGAGUCUCGAGUGGCACGUCCAGGUGAAGAGGCUGCAGCACGCCCUGGGGCUGCCCUGCACCCUGCAGAGCACUUUGAAGAUCUUCAUGCCCCCAGCACCGAAACCCACCGCACGCAGACCCUCGGGGGCAGGCAGCGUGGUGACGAUACCACAGGCCCUGCCCUUCCUGAGCGUCGGCUCCAGGACGGAGCUGGAGCGGCAUCUGCAAAGGAUGGUGCAUCUGAAGAGAUGGGGGAUGCCCAGAAGGAUCCAGGAGUCCUUGAGGCUGCUGAUGCCAGCCACAUCUCCACACCCCCGGCUCGGCCCCCGGCCAUCCGGGAGAUGGGCUCCAAAGGGGCCAGGCCCAGUGACGAGGGCAGCCCAGACGCCCGGCCUCAGAGCUAGAGCCUUAGCCCGGGCCUCCCAGGGCCCCGCCAGAGCGUCCGAAUCCACGCCCGGCUCGCGCUGCUGCAGAGACACCCGGGAGCUGCAGGGGCACAUUGCCAGGAAGGGCAUGGAAAUCAGACUGGGCGCGCUGCCCGCCGUGCUGAGGAGCUCUCAGAAAAUGGCUACCCUGGGGCGCAGAGACCUGCUCCUGCCUAAAGUGAUCCCCCCAGGCCACAAGGCCCCCCUGGCCCGUCACCGGCUCUGCCCCCUGCUCAGCUGCAAGGCGGGUAGCAUGGAGCUCGAUGUGAGGCACAAGCACAUCCAGUACUUCAGGGCUCUCCCCACCCUGUACGCGGAGUCCCUGGCCAAGAUGGAGCCCGGCCUGCCUGUGCCACACGCCCCCCUGCUGCCCCACGGCACGGCCAUCGAGUUCUGCCCCCUGGAGACUCCCUUCGUGGCCCCCGAGGGCCGGGAGCUGCUGGAGAGGCAUGUCCUGAGGAAGCGGCUGCAGCACGAAUGGGGCCUGCCGGGCCUGGUGCGGCGAUCACUGAAGUGUUUCAU